AAACCAUUCAGAAGUUAUAAGCAAAAAUAUGCAUUUUUCAUAUCUCCUGACCACUAGGUGGCGCUGCGUCGAAACACUGCAGGUAGUCUCAGGUCAUGCUUGUUAUAACACACACCAAGUUUGGUCUCAAUACGCCAAACCGUUGCGGAGUUAUAGCCUCACAAGCAUUUUUGCGUGCUUUUCGUAGAAUUUGUUCGCGUGGUAUUCGAGAACGGUAGGACAAAGCAACUUGAAUUCCAUAACUUUUUGCCGGCAUCAUCUGAAUAUGAUCUGAGCCAAUUUUCGUGAAAAUCGGACUAACCGUCUAGGACGAGUUCGUAAAAGUAGGUUUUUCAAACAAUUGAAAAUAUCAAAAAAACUAAACCUUGCGAUUUUUGAAUUUCGGGGUUCAUUCGACUUGGCCUGAGCCAAGGAUUCAGAGGAAAAAAGAAUUUUCAUUUUGUGGCUUACGGUUCAAAAGUUAUUAGCAUAAAAAUAUUGAAAUUUUGGACAAGUGGUGGCGCUAGAGAGUUGGAGUUAGAGACUUCAAAUUUGCUAUAGUUAAUGCUGGGACUGUCCUCUAUCAGUGUGCCAAAUUAUACAACUUUCCCGCAAUCGGUUCUAUGGGCUGCCAUAGACUUGCGGCGGAAGAAGAAGAAGAAGAAGAAGAAGAAGAAGAAGAAGAAGAAGAAGAAGAAGAAGAAGAAGAAAUAUAGCUGCAAGCAGCAAUUACGGGGCCAAGCACUCCAGAGGCAAAUUGAGGAGCUAAGCAUGGCAUGGAGCAUCACACCAAAUGUAACAAUGAGCAAUUACAGCAAUUUUAGGAUGAUUGUAAUUGAAAUUGCGGAAAAAUCAUAAAUACAAGCACUAGUAUUAUGAUUAAAUGACUUAUAACUUUUGACCAACAGGUGGCGCUGUAAUUAAAUCAUUUUGGUGUGUUCUGUGUGAGGUGACAAUGGCACACACAAAGGUUGGUGUCAGUAUGCCAAAGCAUUGCAGAGAUACAGGCUGAAGUGUCAUUUUGGCAUCAUGCCUGAAAUUCGUCGCUGUGGUAUGCGAAAACGAUUUUGUCUAUCGAUACAAAAUCCAUAACAUUUUGUCAGCACAGUCUGAAGAUCAUCUGAUUCAAUUUUGGUGAAAAUCGGACCAACGGUUGAUGAGGAGUUCGAAAAAGUAGGUUUUCAACAUAAAUCAAAAUGGCGGACAGGAAGUUCAGCGUACUCUGACAUAUUUGGUAUCUAUGUUGUCGGCAUAAGCCAAGGAAUAUUUUGAGACCAGUUUUAUUGCAAUAGGCUAAUGCAAUAAAAAGUUAUUAGCAUUUUUAUAAAUGUAAUUAUUAAUGGUUAAUGAAUGGUUUAUUACUCUUGACCAAUAGGUGGCGCUGUUACCAAAUUGAUGUUGCAUGGUCAGUGUGAG
ensembl:lncRNA